GACGAACGCUGGCGGCGUGCUUAACACAUGCAAGUCGAACGGUAAGGCUCCAGCUUGCUGGGGUACACGAGUGGCGAACGGGUGAGUAACACGUGGGUGACCUGCCCUGCACUUCGGGAUAAGCCUGGGAAACUGGGUCUAAUACCGGAUAGGACCGCACCGUGAGGGUGUGGUGGAAAGUUUUUUCGGUGUGGGAUGGGCCCGCGGCCUAUCAGCUUGUUGGUGGGGUAAUGGCCUACCAAGGCGGCGACGGGUAGCCGGCCUGAGAGGGUGGACGGCCACAUUGGGACUGAGACACGGCCCAGACUCCUACGGGAGGCAGCAGUGGGGAAUAUUGCACAAUGGGCGGAAGCCUGAUGCAGCGACGCCGCGUGGGGGAUGACGGCCUUCGGGUUGUAAACUCCUUUCACCAUCGACGAAGGGUUUCUGACGGUAGAUGGAGAAGAAGCACCGGCUAACUACGUGCCAGCAGCCGCGGUAAUACGUAGGGUGCGAGCGUUGUCCGGAAUUACUGGGCGUAAAGAGCUCGUAGGUGGUUUGUCGCGUCGUCUGUGAAAUUCCGGGGCUUAACUCCGGGCGUGCAGGCGAUACGGGCAUAACUUGAGUACUGUAGGGGAGACUGGAAUUCCUGGUGUAGCGGUGAAAUGCGCAGAUAUCAGGAGGAACACCGGUGGCGAAGGCGGGUCUCUGGGCAGUAACUGACGCUGAGGAGCGAAAGCAUGGGGAGCGAACAGGAUUAGAUACCCUGGUAGUCCAUGCCGUAAACGGUGGGCGCUAGGUGUGGGUUUCCUUCCACGGGAUCCGUGCCGUAGCUAACGCAUUAAGCGCCCCGCCUGGGGAGUACGGCCGCAAGGCUAAAACUCAAAGGAAUUGACGGGGGCCCGCACAAGCGGCGGAGCAUGUGGAUUAAUUCGAUGCAACGCGAAGAACCUUACCUGGGCUUGACAUAUACAGGAUCGCGCCAGAGAUGGUGUUUCCCUUGUGGCUUGUAUACAGGUGGUGCAUGGUUGUCGUCAGCUCGUGUCGUGAGAUGUUGGGUUAAGUCCCGCAACGAGCGCAACCCUUGUCUUAUGUUGCCAGCACGUUGUGGUGGGGACUCGUAAGAAACUGCCGGGGUUAACUCGGAGGAAGGUGGGGAUGACGUCAAAUCAUCAUGCCCCUUAUGCCCAGGGCUUCACACAUGCUACAAUGGUCGGUACAGUGGGUUGCCAGUCCGUGAGGGCGAGCUAAUCCCGCAAAGCCGGUCUCAGUUCGGAUCGGGGUCUGCAACUCGACCCCGUGAAGUCGGAGUCGCUAGUAAUCGCAGAUCAGCAACGCUGCGGUGAAUACGUUCCCGGGCC
rnacentral:rRNA from 1 species